rnacentral:rRNA from 1 species
CAGCCGCCGCGGGAAUACGGAGGGUGCGAGCGUUAAUCGGAAUUACUGAGCGUAAAGCGUACGCAGGCGGUUUGUUAAGUCAGAUGUGAAAUCCCCGAGCUUAACUCGGGAACUGCAUUUGAAACUGGCAGGCUAGAGUCUCGUAGAGGGGGGUAGAAUUCCAGGUGUAGCGGUGAAAUGCGUAGAGAUCUGGAGGAAUACCGGUGGCGAAGGCGGCCCCCUGGACGAAGACUGACGCUCAGGUACGAAAGCGUGGGGAGCAAACAGGAUUAGAUACCCCAGUAGUCCCUGUCUCUUAUAC